UACGGAGGGUGCGAGCGUUGUCCGGAAUCACUGGGCGUAAAGGGCGCGUAGGCGGCAUGCCAAGCGUGUGGUGAAAGCCCGGGGCUCAACCCCGGGUCGGCCGUGCGGACUGGCGUGCUCGAGCACUGUAGGGGCGGGUGGAAUUCCGGGUGUAGCGGUGGAAUGCGUAGAGAUCCGGAAGAACACCGGUGGCGAAGGCGGCAUCCUGGACCAAUACUGACGCUGAGGAGCGAAAGCCAGGGGAGCAAACGGG
rnacentral:rRNA from 1 species